UACGUAGGGCGCGAGCGUUGUCCGGAAUUAUUGGGCGUAAAGAGCUCGUAGGCGGUGUGUCACGUCGGCCGUGAAAACCUGCAGCUUAACUGUGGGCGUGCGGUCGAUACGGGCAUCACUGGAGUUCGGUAGGGGAGACUGGAAUUCCUGGUGUAGCGGUGGAAUGCGCAGAUAUCAGGAGGAACACCCAUAGCGAAGGCAGCUCGCUGGGACGGUACUGACGCUAAGGCGCGAAAGCGUGGGGAGCGAACAGG
rnacentral:rRNA from 1 species